rnacentral:rRNA from 1 species
UACGUAGGGAGCAAGCGUUGUCCGGAAUCAUUGGGCGUAAAGCGCGCGUAGGUGGCCUCAUAAGUCCGCUGUGAAAGUCAAAGGCUCAACCUUUGAAAGCCGGUGGAUACUGUGAGGCUAGAGUACGGAAGAGGCGAGUGGAAUUCCUGGUGUAGCGGUGAAAUGCGCAGAUAUCAGGAGGAACACCGAUGGCGAAGGCAGCUCGCUGGGACGGUAUUGACGCUGAGACGCGAAAGCGUGGGGAGCAAACAGG